rnacentral:ncRNA from 1 species
AUCUUCGGGGUAAGGUGAAAUUCCUGACCGGCGGUGAUGCUUCGAUUCGAAGCUUAGCCCGCGACUCGCGACAAAACAGCCUUCGCAAGGCCUGCAAUCGCGACUGACUUGGUGCAAUUCCAAGGCCGACGGUAUAGUCCGGAUGGGAGAAGAU